CUCCCUCUCUGACCAAUUAACGCAGGUCCCUUUGUGCGAUUUGUUUACAAUUCGAGGAUCUUGCAGUUCGAAAUGAUCUUAACGGGAGAUCUUGAGCAAGAGCGCUCGUAAGGUGGGUUUCGUGUUCAUGGAUUUCUUUGUUGGAUUCCGUAGGUUCUACUGAAAAUAUCGCAUGCCUCGUUUUAGAUGACUUGAGAUUAAGGAUCUUAAGGCGACCAUUCUCUUUCUUGAUGAUUGCUGAGAUGUUGUUUUCGUUGUGACGGUUGUUGAUGGUGCGUACGUGGUGAUUGCAUGAUAGCCUGGGCUUUCAUGAUGACGAUGAUUUUUUUUUUUUUUUGCAAAGGAUAAGUUACGAAAGCGAAAAUUGAGCACUAAGACUUUGUGAUAAGCUGUAAAAGUCCUUAUCAGCUAAGCUAGCUAGUACGUUCAAGAUAUAUCGGAUGAGGUUUUGAGUAAGUGAAUCUGGUAUAUCACUAUCAGAUUAAAUAUUAAAGGUAUAAAAUAUAUCAGAUGAGGCUUCAAACCUUUAACCUUUGGUAAGUAGAUUUGGUGCACCACCACUAAACCAAUGUUUUAGGUGUAGACUUUGAUGAUUCACCAUGGUGUUUAUGGGGGCUUUGGAACAAGAGCUCUUGUUCAGUGGAUGUUUCAUUAUGGUUUUCUUUGUUCUUUUGAUUAAUUCUUUAGCCGAUACUGACGAGAUCUAAAGAGUGUUAGUUUUGAUGAGUUUAUAGUUCCUACAUGCCAAGAAUUGAGGCUGGCCUUCUUUUUCUUGGUGAUUGCUGAGAUGAUAUAUCUGUUGUGAUGGCAGUGACGGCGUCUAUGGGGUGAUUGUGGUAUAUUUUGAUGUUUUCUAUUUAUUGAGAUCACAUAUCUCAAGUCAGAUGUGUUGUUGAGUUUUUUAGGCCAUAUCUUUUAAUUUGUUGUGAAAAUUUCGCUAUUAGCGUGUCCUUUAGAAGACAUCCUUGCGAGUGCAUCAAAUGGUAUCUUUUAUCAUAAUCGCAUCAGAAUUCUGCUUUUCUCUAUUGCUCCCUACAAAAAUAUUCAUAUCCUAAUUGUAGCCUUUCUGGUUUGUUUAAUUAAUUAGUUUCACUUGUAGAAACUUAAUUAAUUAAUUUUUUUGUUUCAUUCAGAGAAGAAGGAAAAAAGAAGCACAUUCUUGAUGAUAUUCUACGGAUGUCCAACCAGGACGACUGUAACUCCUAUAAACAUCCAAUGCUACAUGAAGACAGCAGGACCGGAACCAGAUGCUGUAGUUCGUGAUUGAGCUUUGAAAAAAAUAGUAUAGUGGAAAGAAUUAUAAAGCAAGAGCAGCUAGGUAGGUAUCUUUUUUGGAGUAAUUAUGAUGGUCACUUCUGAACAUGAAGAUUCUGUCAUGAUUACAGAAGAUGAAAGUACAUGGGUUGCAUACGAAAUGCUGUUCAUGUGGCUGCAUAUGUGGUUAUGACAACCUUGGAUAAGGAUUGUGUUAUAUAUCUGCCAACACCAUGACAAAUCAGCAGCCGAGCAGCAUACUGAAGAAACAGUGGAUCAUGGUGUUACUCAGUGGUAGAUGCUUGGUUCGAACUCUACAGGCUCACAAUUGUACCAAGAACAAGUGCCAAACAAAGAACUGCCUGAGGUAAUGCUCUACUUUAAGCUCCGACAUGUACUAAUUCUUGUAAUGUAAGCAUCUUAAUUGAUUCGCGCUGCGUCUCUAUUUUUGUA